rnacentral:sRNA from 1 species
CUUUCUACUGUGUCUGUGUGAACAAUCGCAAGUUGCCGCUUGACAAAAUUGAAAUUUUUUGGCAUAAAAUUUAAUCACCGGCUGCACUAAAUAGUCGCAAAGUGUAAAUGAAAGUGCCAGGAAUGAUUUUCAAUUGAAAUUGUGGCAGGUGUGUUCGCCAUUGUCAAUGCAAAUCAUAAACGAAAAACAACAAAAAAAAGUGGUUGAGCAAACGCCAAACGCACUGUGAAAAAAUGCGAAUGUCGUCGUCGUCGCUGUCGUUGUCGCUGUCGCUGUCGUCGCCGCUUUGAGUGUGUACGUGCGCCGCGUUUUGCACGGCAGCUGCGCUGCUCUAACACAAAAAUUAAAGCGACGUUGUCAGGAUUGUGUUAAAAUUAAUCAUAUACAAAAUUAAGUAAGAAGCUCAAUAAGUCAAAUAAUUGUGCCCUGUGUUCAAAUUCUGCCAAGUGGGAGCAGCCAAAAGAGCAAGAGUGAGAAAGAGAUUGCGCGCAGUAGCACACGCACACAUACUCACACACAACCCGCAUACGCAUACGCUCAAACUAAAGUUCGGGAGAGCGGAAACAAUCAUUUGUGUGCAUGUGAUGCCAAAAAUCAAAACGAUAAAACCAAAAGGAAAUCUACUCUAACAAACCCAGCAAAAACAAACAAACAAAAAAAAAAAAAACAUACAAGAGAAGAGAGCAAAGAGCGUGAGAGCAAGAAGUAUGUGAAUAUAAAAAUAUUUGUGAGCGAGCAGUUUAUCGACAGCAAAUUCUUCUGCAACUCUCUCGAAACGAAUUGAUGUGCCAUUCAGAGCGGAGCAAGAAGCAACCUAGAAGCUAUAAGCGAGUAUUACAACAACCACAACAACAACAACACCAACUCUAAGGCGCAUAUAAGAAAUGCAACAAUCCCUCCAUUAAACAAGAAGAAGAACAACAACAACAAC